rnacentral:misc_RNA from 1 species
GUGAGUCAUCGAAUCUUUGAACGCAACUUGCGCUCUCUGGUAUUCCGGAGAGCAUGCCUGUUUGAGUGUCAUGAAAUCUCAACCAUUAGGGUUUCUUAAUGGCUUGGAUUUGGAGGUUUGCCAGUCUGACUGGCUCCUCUUAAAGGAGUUAGCAAGUUUGACUAUUGCUAUCUGGCGUAAUAAGUUUCGCUGGAAUGGUAUUGUGAAGCGUGCUUCUAAUCGUCUUUGGACAAUUAUUUUGACUCUGGCCUCAAAUCAGGUAGGACUACCCGCUGAACUUAAGCAUAUCAAUAAGCGGAGGA